CAGCUUAUACAUGCAAGUCGAGCGGACAGAAGGGAGCUUGCUCCCGGAUGUUAGCGGCGGACGGGUGAGUAACACGUGGGUAACCUGCCUGUAAGACUGGGAUAACUCCGGGAAACCGGAGCUAAUACCGGAUAGUUCCUUGAACCGCAUGGUUCAAGGAUGAAAGACGGUUUCGGCUGUCACUUACAGAUGGACCCGCGGCGCAUUAGCUAGUUGGUGGGGUAAUGGCUCACCAAGGCGACGAUGCGUAGCCGACCUGAGAGGGUGAUCGGCCACACUGGGACUGAGACACGGCCCAGACUCCUACGGGAGGCAGCAGUAGGGAAUCUUCCGCAAUGGACGAAAGUCUGACGGAGCAACGCCGCGUGAGUGAUGAAGGUUUUCGGAUCGUAAAGCUCUGUUGUUAGGGAAGAACAAGUGCGAGAGUAACUGCUCGCACCUUGACGGUACCUAACCAGAAAGCCACGGCUAACUACGUGCCAGCAGCCGCGGUAAUACGUAGGUGGCAAGCGUUGUCCGGAAUUAUUGGGCGUAAAGGGCUCGCAGGCGGUUUCUUAAGUCUGAUGUGAAAGCCCCCGGCUCAACCGGGGAGGGUCAUUGGAAACUGGGAAACUUGAGUGCAGAAGAGGAGAGUGGAAUUCCACGUGUAGCGGUGAAAUGCGUAGAGAUGUGGAGGAACACCAGUGGCGAAGGCGACUCUCUGGUCUGUAACUGACGCUGAGGAGCGAAAGCGUGGGGAGCGAACAGGAUUAGAUACCCUGGUAGUCCACGCCGUAAACGAUGAGUGCUAAGUGUUAGGGGGUUUCCGCCCCUUAGUGCUGCAGCUAACGCAUUAAGCACUCCGCCUGGGGAGUACGGUCGCAAGACUGAAACUCAAAGGAAUUGACGGGGGCCCGCACAAGCGGUGGAGCAUGUGGUUUAAUUCGAAGCAACGCGAAGAACCUUACCAGGUCUUGACAUCCUCUGACAACCCUAGAGAUAGGGCUUUCCCUUCGGGGACAGAGUGACAGGUGGUGCAUGGUUGUCGUCAGCUCGUGUCGUGAGAUGUUGGGUUAAGUCCCGCAACGAGCGCAACCCUUGAUCUUAGUUGCCAGCAUUCAGUUGGGCACUCUAAGGUGACUGCCGGUGACAAACCGGAGGAAAGUGGGGAUGACGUCAAAUCAUCAUGCCCCUUAUGACCUGGGCUACCACGUGCUACAUGGAC
rnacentral:rRNA from 1 species